rnacentral:rRNA from 1 species
AACGAACGCUGGCGGCAUGCCUAACACAUGCAAGUCGAACGAGACCUUCGGGUCUAGUGGCGCACGGGUGCGUAACGCGUGGGAACCUGCCCUUAGGUUCGGAAUAACUCCCCGAAAGGGGUGCUAAUACCGGAUAAUGUCUUCGGACCAAAGAUUUAUCGCCUUUGGAUGGGCCCGCGUUGGAUUAGCUAGUUGGUAGGGUAAAAGCCUACCAAGGCGACGAUCCAUAGCUGGUCUGAGAGGAUGAUCAGCCACACUGGGACUGAGACACGGCCCAGACUCCUACGGGAGGGAGCAGUGGGGAAUAUUGGAAAAUGGGCGAAAGCCUGAUCCGGCAAUGCCGCGUGAGUGAUGAAGGCCUUAGGGUUGUAAAGCUCUUUUACCCGGGAUGAUAAUGACAGUACCGGGAGAAUAAGCUCCGGCUAACUCCGUG